rnacentral:rRNA from 1 species
UAGGGAAUUUUGCGCAAUGGGCGAAAAGCCUGACGCAGCGACGCCGCGUGUGGGAUGAAGGGUUUCGGCUCGUAAACCACUGUCAGAUGGGAAGAUGGGGUAACAAGUUAAUAAUUUGUUAUCUUGACUGUACCAUCAGAGGAAGCACCGGCUAACUACGUGCCAGCAGCCGCGGUAAUACGUAGGGUGCUAGCGUUACUCGGAAUCAUUGGGCGUAAAGGGUGUGUAGGUGGAAUUGUAAGUCAGAUGUGAAAGCCUUGGGCUCACCCCAAGAAGUGCAUUUGAUACUGCUAUUCUAGAGUUCGGGAGAGGGAGGCAGAAUUCCAGGUGUAGAGGUGAAAUCCGUAGAUAUCUGGAGGAAUACCGGAGGCGAAGGCGGCCUCCUGGACCGACACUGACACUGAGACACGAAAGCGUGGGUAGCAAACA